rnacentral:misc_RNA from 1 species
AAGGAGUCCUACUGGUACAAGGGUACCGGCUCAGUUGUAGCAGUUGAUCAGGAUCCAAAAACACGCUAUCCAGUUGUAGUGAGGUUCAACAAAGUGAACUAUGCUAAUGUAUCCACUAACAACUACGCAUUGGACGAAGUUGAAGAAGUGAAAUGAAGGAGUGGAAGUAAUUAGUUCAAGGUUUUCCAUAUUUGUAAUUUGUCCAGCCCGUGUGCUUUCCAUGUUUUAUCUCUAGUUAUAUACUGGCUUUGAAUGUGAAUGUGUAUCAUAAUUUU